rnacentral:rRNA from 2 species
AUUGCCUUAGUAACGGCGAGUGAAGCGGCAACAGCUCAAAUUUGAAAUCUGGACCUAGUCCCGAGUUGUAAUUUGCAGAGGAUGAUUUUGGCGCGGUGCCUUCCAAGUUCCCUGGGACGGGACGCCGGAGAGGGUGAGAGCCCCGUCAGGUUGGACACCAAGCCUAUGUAAAUCUCCUUCGACGAGUCGAGUAGUUUGGGAAUGCUGCUCUAAAUGGGAGGUAUAUGUCUUCUAAAGCUAAAUACCGGCCAGAGACCGAUAGCGCACAAGUAGAGUGAUCGAAAGAUGAAAAGCACUUUGGAAAGAGAGUUAAACAGCACGUGAAAUUGUUAAAAGGGAAGCGUUUACGACCAGACUUGUGCCGGUUGAUCAUCCAGCGUUCUCGCUGGUGCACUCUGCCGGCCCAGGCCAGCAUCAGUUCGCCGCGGGGGAUAAAGGCGUCGGGAAUGUGGCUCCCCCGGGAGUGUUAUAGCCCUUCGCGCAAUACCCUGAGGCGGACUGAGGUUCGCGCAUUCGCAAGGAUGCUGGCGUAAUGGUCGUCAACGACCCGUCUUGAAACACGGACCAAGGAGUCGUCUUCGUAUGCGAGUGUUCGGGUGUAAAACCCCUACGCGUAAUGAAAGUGAACGCAGGUGAGAGCUUCGGCGCAUCAUCGACCGAUCCUGAUGUUCUCGGAUGGAUUUGAGUAAGAGCAUACGGGGCCGGACCCGAAAGAAGGUGAACUAUGCCUGUAUAGGGUGAAGCCAGAGGAAACUCUGGUGGAGGCUCGCAGCGGUUCUGACGUGCAAAUCGAUCGUCAAAUAUGGGCAUGGGGGCGAAAGACUAAU